GCACCUGCCGGCCGCUCUUCGCCGUGAGCUAUUUGGGGCCCGGCCAUGUGAUUUCCUCGCCGCCCGCGAGAGUGCCGCAAAAACAGGAUGCGCCGUGGCGGGCUGCGAGCGCCGAUAGGGACUCUCUCCGGGCGGAAGAGCGGGGCGCUGGCCACAUCCCUGCCCUGGCGUGGGUGCUGCCACCCUGGGAGCUCCCCGUGGUGCCCCGAGCGGUGUCAGGCUCCAUCCCGGGGCAGAACGGCACCUUGCACCCAAGCCAAGGCGAAUGCGGGGCAGUUGUGGCGCUUUGGGGUGUGGGAGCGGCCAGGAAGCGCGGGGCAGGUCCCAGCUCCCGUGGCGAGGUCCCAGCACCCACAGCAGCAUCACUGCACCCUUGACGAGGUCCCAGCACCCACACUGGGAUCCCAGCACCCACAGGAGCAUCACUGCACCCUUGAUGAGGUCCCAGCACCCACAGGAGCAUCGCUGCACCCUUGAUGAGGUCCCAGCAUCCACAGUGUGGUCCCAGCACCCACAGGAGCAUCACUGCACCCUUGACAAGGUCCCAGCACCCACAGUGAGGUCCCAGCACCCACAGGAGCAUCACUGCACCCUUGACGAGGUCCCAGCACCCACAGUGAGGUCCUGGCACCCACAGCAGGGUCUCAGGACCCACAGGAGCAUCCCAGCACCUUGGUCAAGGUGCCAACACCCACAGCAAGGUGCCAACAUCCCCAGUGGGGUCCUGUCACCGCAGUGAGGUCCCAGAACCUUCAGCUGGGUCCCAGCACCCACGUUCUUGGGGAAGGAGCGUGCAAAGGCUGGAGGAGGAGCGCGGCUGGGAAAUACUCCUUCAGCAGGAGAAGAAAGCAGCCCCGGCUCCUUGCUGGUGGAAAACACCACGUGCUGACAUGAACCGCUCCCGAUUAAUGUUUCCAAAAGGCAAGCUGAACCUUGGAUGAGGAAUUUGCUGGCUGCAGCAGGACCGAUGCCAGGAGCUCUACCUCUGAGCUUGAAAAAGUAAAAUCUCUAGCAAACCCAGGCCAAGGUGGGCUGUAAGGACAGCGCAGGGCCAUGGCUCUCCCCAUGCUCGGGCAUCCUGGGCAGCCCAGAAAAUGUUCCAUUAAAUUCCUUUGCAUCCUGCUGAACCUGCCCCAUUGCGACUGGGGCAAUUAAAGUGUUUUGGCAAGGGAUAAACCCUGAUUUGCCCCUGUUAUCAAGCUGGGACAAAGCGGCAUUAUUUCCACCUGCUGGCAGCAACUCCCACUACAACGGCGAGGCCGACGGCGCGGCGCUGUGCAAACACGGCUCCCCGCCGGCCAGCUGCCCCAGCCCCGACAGCCGGGCAUUUCGGGAUCAGCCAAGACCAGGGGCCAGGACAGUUGGGCGUUCACAGGACAUUAAACGAUGCCGCUGUUUAAGGGCAGCCCUGUCCAUCCUGGUGGGUGCGGGUAGCUCCGGGUUGGUGUUUGCUCAUCCCAAGCCGCUGGUGGUAUUUAAAGCCGUGGGCAGAGCCCACCAGGCUGCUGCUCUGCCUGCGCCACCAGCUGUGGGUGCCRGGUCCGGCCUCGAGAGCCUCCGCGCCGGUGAGUUGGGCCCAGGGCAAACAGCGUCUGCAGCCCCAUGGGGGGGUCGGGUUGGGGCAGGUCCCGGGGC
ensembl:lncRNA